AUAUUAAACUCCUCCUCCAGGCAAGAUCAACAGCAAUAACGACACAACAAUUGAUGCUGCUGUUGCAGUGACUGUGCUUUAUAGGAUACACUGCGAAGA
rnacentral:ribozyme from 1 species